UACGAGGGGUGCAAGCGUUGCUCGGAAUUAUUGGGCGUAAAGGGUAGGUAGGUGGUCUCAUUUGUCCGGGGUGAAAGCCUUGAGCUUAACUCAAGAAGUGCCUCGGAAACGGUGAGACUAGAGUCUUGGAGAGGGUCGUGGAAUUCCCGGUGUAGCGGUGGAAUGCGUAGAGAUCCGGAAGAACACCGGUGGCGAAGGCGGCCCGCUGGGCAGGAAGGUGAGGAGCAAUCCUCACCGGCUGACGCUGAGGCGCGACAGCGUGGGGAGCAAACAGG
rnacentral:rRNA from 1 species